GUAGGCUGUUAGAGUGGUGGAGGUGGGGAGAGGUUGUAGGGGGUAAAGAGCAAACAAAUAUGCAGGGAUGGAUGGAGGGUGGAAAGGGGCUAGAGAGGUACAACAACUGCGUUUUGUGUAGAUGAAAGUUUCGCGAGCGAAACCUAAGUAGACUUCAUCACCUAAGAAAGGGCAAAUACUGCUUCACAGGAAUCAAGGUGAAGACCGAUUCUGAAACUCUUUCAUGUAAAGCAGGGUGAGGGGCAUCCGGUCCGCAGGUCGCACAAAUCCCGCGAAAUCAUGUAGUCUGGUCAUGCCAAGGCAACAGCAGGCAGAAGUCGAAAUUCAAUUAAUGUAGGAGAUUGUGUUUUCAUUGGAACAUAAAAUUUUAUUAAUAAGAAAAUUCUCAGGACACUCUAGGAACGUUUUUACGGGGUAGACAAGACAGACGAGUGCAUGACGGGACAGACGCGCAUGCUUCUCGUCGGUUGCCUGUACUGAGGUCCCUGUGUCGUGGACAUUAUGACUGUUAUGUCAUGGUCUGCACAUGGGCAUAGACAUAAGUUCAUUACCGCUUUGUAUAUCGUUUGUACAAACAAACAAGCUGUGGACGACGACAAUUGACAUGUAUAUGGCGAUCAGGUUUCUGGCCGUGAAAGAGAGUGGAAAAGGAUUUAAUGAGUGUUGUCUUGUUUUUCACUUCCAGCGAAACCUGAUCGCCAUACGCAUGUGCGGAUGAUGUACAGAGAGGUCAUGAACUUAGUUUUUACGCGCAGACCACGCGCAGACGAUCAUUUCAUCCCAGAUAUCGGGGGCACGCGACACCUGUGGUGUUGAGGUGCUCUGGUGGCAGUCACUGGUGUUGUCGUUUGGCCCCUGGGGAGGGGCUGCUGCUGCCAGGGAGGAGUGACUGGCGAGUCCAGAAUGUCAAUGUGAAGGGCGAGCGGCCAGACAGUUGAACCCAUCUGGUACCAGAGGCCGCAAGCCGCAGACUGGCCCACACCACCCUCCUCCAACUGCACGCGACCCCUACCUCGCCCAACCGUGAGCCGUGAACCGUGAGCCGUGCAAGACAAACACGCAGCUUUCUUCACUGACGCCAUGUCAUUAAGAAUGUCCCUUAGCUGAAGGUUGUUGCGAUCAUCUGUGAAGCGAGAGGUUGCCCGCGAUGAGCCUCCAGUCCUCUCACUUCUGCUCACCUAUAGGACGUUGCUGUAUCAGAAAGAAGAGAGGAGAUGGUUGGGCUCCGGAACAACAUGCAGUGUCCUAGACACGGUGGACCACUCACGUUUACAGCUUCCGGGCUCUGUUUGCGUUCGGUGUUCGAGACACAUAACAACAACAGCAGCAGCAACAACAACAGCGACGACAACAACAACAUAUUGCUUCUUCGCCGAUGUGCUUGCACUCACAUGACCCUUCUCCAUUACCGAUGUCAGGUUUGUUUGCAAACUGCGGCAGUGAAUAAUACAUGGUCGCCGGAUUUUGAGACUCGCGAACGGUCGUCGUCAGGUGGUACGCAAAGGUGGACACUUGUCAGUGAUGCAGACGACAACUUUCACAAGGAGCCGCCAUUUUUAGUUGCAUACUAUGAGUCCAUUAAGACGACCUCCUUUGACUGAAGUGCCAGUUAUAUCCGUCAGAGGGGCAUUACAGUUAUUAUCUUUUCCUCACUCUCCAGCAACCUCUGUGAAUUUUUUCUAGGGAUAGCUAUGCUUACUUUUUACUGAACUCACAAGCUCUAAUGCUGAAUGAAUGUUAACGCAGCAUAAAUGAUUCAAGAUGUGGCUUUCGCCGCCAGGGUUUUAUUACAGAGAUGGCUUUUAAACGUAGUAAUUUUUAUUAAAAUAUUUAGAACCUGUUUUUAUAAAGGCUUCUUUGAUGAGCCGCAGCCAGGCAACAGGGAACCUGAGCAGCAAGGAGACUGCCCAAGCAGAAAUCACAAAACUGAAGAAGUAUUGGACACUUCUGGGACAUAGAAGAAAGCCACGAGUUUCCGGUGGGCUUUAUGAAGUCUUUUCUCUCCCGUUCUUAUGUAGAGGUUUCCAAACUUUUAUGAAUAAGAAAGAAGCACAAACAUCCACGCAAACCAACCCUGGUUAUAGAAAGAUGAAAAUGAUUACUUAGUUAAACAACAAUAGCUCCGAGAGAUAUUUGUGGAGAAAAAAUUGAAUGCAUAUGAUUGGUCUUUGGACGACACUCCAUGGAAUAAAAUCUUCACGACAUU
rnacentral:lncRNA from 1 species